rnacentral:piRNA from 1 species
UGAGGACUCCCACAUGGGGAACUGGUUGG